AAAUACGGUGUGAAAUCUUUGUAAAUACAAUUGCAUGAGUGAAUUUUAAUCCAUUUCGCUGAGGGGCCAACUGGAACUCGUUCAAAGACUCUUGUGGUGUCCAAAAACUGCACUGUGGGCGCUGCUUGUAUCUCUCUGCCUCCACAGAAAGCCUCAAAAAGGAUUCAGCAGUCACACUGUGUGUUACUUGCAAUCGGCAAAUCACAAUUUCCCACCAUUAACCUGCAGCGCUUGUGGUAUGGUUGCUAUGGUAACAGCUCCCUCCCAGGCAAGGCGCUGCAGCAUAUCCACCGGUUUAUUAGAUCUCUGAUCACACAGCUCCCUCCACAUGGCCAUCUGGGAAAAGCAGUCGCACAGAAACGUAUGCCCCCGGUUUUACCUCACCUAAGUCUGCUCAUCAUUUUGCCGCAUUAAACUCUGCUGAGGAGGAGACAGGGUGUCAACUUUCCUGUCAGGGUUCAGUUUCAGUUGAAGAUGGGUGGCAUAUUAAAUGAGAAGUGUUGAAGAGAUGAGUGUUAGAAGAAAAAAAAACAUGCUUGGAAGUAGUCGAAGGCAGCCGCUCUGAGGGAACUGUCUCCAUCUCAAUAAAAAGCUUCAUUCUGAGUUCAACAACUCUUUAUUUUGUUUGCUCGUCCAUACCUGGUAAAAAUUUACAGGAAAGAUAGUGAUUUGGCCGAGUUGUUUAUUCAGCAGCCUAUUUGAACUGCGUUUUCUCGGUUGAAGCUGUUUUUUAAUUGGCAUCGGUAUGAACAGCUUGAUGUUGUCAUCAGCUGUGUCAGGACCAGAUGCAACACUUAGCACAUCUCCUACCUUGUGAAAUUAUUUUACUGUAACACCAUUCCUGCCACCAUCACCACCUUCAGCAAGACGUUACAAACACUGCUGAUGAACAGCAGAUGUUGUUUCAAUCCCUGACACGCACAGACACACACAAACAAAUGUACACAAACACUGUCGAUCUGUCUGUCCUCCUUUACCUGCAGAAUGAGACAGUACAGCUUCUGCAAGGCCAUGUGGACACACAAAUGCCUUACAACAGGCAGUCUAACACAACAAUAACACAAAUUGCUGCUUCAGAAAAUCCCCUCUGAGUUGUAUCAGCAGCUCUGAAUCUCUGGACAAAUUGAACAUUAUGAGCGUCUCUGAAGUGAAAUUUAUUGUUGUGCUGUUCUGUUUUAUUGCAUCAGAGAGUACAGGUGGGGCUGUAUUGUUCCUCGUGUGGCUUUAUGUGGUUGAUCCUUUUUUUAUAAAACAUAUCACACUUUCUCUCUGUGGAUCAUGUCUUUGGAAGAAUAUGUUGGCAUUCUCUGGUGAUGGUGACGUCUUGUAAGUUCCUGGUUGUUCAUCUGAACAAUAAACUGGACUGGACUGGACUCAGCCUCUUGAGCAGACUCUAUCUGCUCAAGAGGCUGAGGUCUUUUAGGGUGCAGGGGGGGCACUCCUGAAGACCUUCUAUGACUCUGUAAUGGCCUCUGUCAUUUUUUAUUGAGUGGUCUGCUGGGGGAGCAGCAUCACAGCAGCUGACAGGAAGAGGCUGGACAAACUUAUAAAGAAGGCCAGCUUUGUCCUGGGGUGCCCUCUGGAACUCGUGGAGGAGGUGGGGAAGAGGAGGACCACAGCCAAGCUGUCCUCCAUGCUGGACAGAGACUCUCACCCCCUCAUACACACACUCACUGAACUGAGGAGCUCCUUAAGGGACAGGAUGCUCCACCCGAAGUGUGUGACGGAGAGGAAUCACAGGUCAUUCACAACAGAAACCUCAGUGUGCAGUAAAUCAUAUUUAUAUGUAUACUCUGUACACACAUAUGCUUAUGCUGUGUAUAUAGUCAUACAUAUAAAUAUCUCAAAAUUUCCAACUGUAAUAUAUCAAACAUGUACAUAAAAUAACUUUAAAAUAACACUCAUGUAUAAACCUUUUUUACUAUUUUUAACUCCUUUCUUCAUGCUUUAAUUUCUCACUGCUGUAAAUUUGGAAUUUUCCCUUCUGAGACAAACAAAGGAAUAUCUUAUCUUAUAUUCCAGGUGAUACACUUGGUAGCUUUUCAUGCACAGAGAUAAGGAGAUAAAAAUCACUGCCUUUCAGCUUACUUUGAAGUUAGAUAUGGGGAAACUAUCAGCUGAGUUUUGCAUUAUUAAGACGCAUUAUGGGCCAAAAGGUAACAAAAUUUCACUGGACUAUUCCAAGCUCACUUGUGGACAUGUUAAUUCUCAAAUGUUUCACUGCAGGUUGUGUUUUUUGUAGGAGUUUGAUGGGUAACCAGAAGCAUCUGCAGGAAGUUUCUAUGUCAUACAAAGGUAAAAAAUUGGCACAUAUCCUUCUAAAUGAGGACAGACAGUUGGUUUUGCUCAUAAAUUCUUUCACAGAUUAAACCUAUCCUCCUUCACUUUCGAGUUUUGAGCACUGGUAGACUCUCUUUUUUAGCCUUUGAAUAGAGCCAGGCUGUUGUCCUUCACUUCCAGUUAUUGAGCUAAAAUAAGUAGUGCUCACCGUUGAAUUGCUUCAGCUUUAUAAACAUACAUAAAAGACGCAUCAAUCUUCUCAUCUUACCCUAGCUGAAAAAUACUGAAGACAUGUCUGAGAAUUCAUCUCAUUAAACACAGUGAAAACAAAAACUUCAACUUAGCAUCAGACAAUUGGAUACGAACACUUAGAAACGGAAAAACUAAAUGACAACAAAGGAAAAAUGAGGAAAGAGGAAAAUACGGUGACAGCUUUGGAUCAGUUUCCAAGAUGGUUUGGAAAAGUUAAUUAAGUCCCUUAUUAUGUCAAUCCUGACAAAUGAUUUUUCUAGGAUGUUAUGUUAAUUUUUUUAACCUGUAACUAUUAUCUAUCCUGUCAAAAAAUGCAGGUCAGUGCUUUUGGCACGAAGUGUUUACAUCCAUCUGAACUGCCAAGGCUGAAGGUGAGUGUAAAAUGUCUCAUCUGCAUUGCUGCUAAUAGCCACAGAGGUGAUGAGGUUUUGACUCCUGUUACACGUGUCACUUCGCAUUAGUGUCAACAUUAGAGCCUGCCACUCUACAGCCAAUCAGAGCCACUUAACAACAAAAUCAACAGAUCCCUUUAUAAUUGCUCCUGAGCAAAGCAAUUGAAGGAGGCUCCUGGGGAUUGACUUUCAUUUGGGUUUGUCAGACAGGCCUAGCUUUUUGUUUAUUUAUUUAUUCAUGUUGGCCCACUUGAAGAUUAUAAUAGUUUUAAAGCUUGUAUGUGUCUGACUUUGUGAGGUCAUUGUUUAAAUUUGAAUACACUUGUUUUGCAUUGUGCAAAAUAAAUCAUUAAACUUGAUUGUCAUUGGGAUACAUCCAUGUAACAGGAUAAAAAGAUUUUUUUUUUAAAUGUAUUAAUCCUCACAUUUCUUCACAGAUAAACAAGCUUUGU